UCGUCAACACUAAUAUUUCAGGCCAACUGGUAAAAUAGUUAUCUGUACACUGUUCUCUCCUCCAUAUCUCCUCCAGGGCUCCAUAAACAUGCGCUCACAGAAAAGAAGAAGUCAACAUAAGAAGCAGUCCGCCGUCUUCACAACUCUGAGACAAACUGUAGCAGACGCUACGAACCUGAGCAACGACUAACCUCGCCUCAUAACGAGGCUGUGACCUAUAUUUGCUCGGAGCUGUCUGCAGGUCCAGAUUUACAUGACGCUGCUGACGCCUGUUGUGAAGGGUUCAGCUCG